UUGGAGGGCAAGUCUGGUGCCAGCAGCCGCGGUAAUUCCAGCUCCAAUAGCGUAUACUAAAGUUGUUGCAGUUAAAAAGCUCGUAGUUGAAUUUCGGGGUUAGUAGGUUGGUCGUGCCACAGGUAUGUACUGGUCUCACUGAUUCCUCCUUCCUGAUGAACCGUAAUGCCAUUAAUUUGGUGUUGCGGGGAAUCUGGACUGUUACUUUGAAAAAAUUAGAGUGUUUAAAGCAGGCUAACGCUUGAAUACAUUAGCAUGGAAUAAUGAAAUAGGACGAUCGAUCCUAUUUUGUUGGUUUCUAGGAUUGACGUAAUGAUUAAUAGGGAUAGUUGGGGGCAUUAGUAUUCAAUUGUCAGAGGUGAAAUUCUUGGAUUUAUUGAAGACUAACUACUGCGAAAGCAUUUGCCAAGGAUGUUUUCAUUAAUCAAGAACGAAAGUUAGGGGAUCGAAGACGAUCAGAUACCGUCGUAGUCUUAACCAUAAACUAUGCCGACUAGGGAUCGGAUGAUGUUAAUUUUUUAAUGACUCAUUCGGCGCCUUACGGGAAA
rnacentral:rRNA from 1 species